rnacentral:rRNA from 1 species
UCGUCAGCUCGUGUCGUGAGAUGUUGGGUUAAGUCCCGCAACGAGCGCAACCCUUGUCAUUAGUUGCCAUCAUUAAGUUGGGCACUCUAAUGAGACUGCCGGUGACAAACCGGAGGAAGGUGGGGAUGACGUCAAGUCAUCAUGCCCCUUAUGACCUGGGCUACACACGUGCUACAAUGGACGGUACAACGAGAAGCGAACCUGCGAAGGCAAGCGGAUCUCUUAAAGCCGUUCUCAGUUCGGACUGUAGGCUGCAACUCGCCUACACGAAGCUGGAAUCGCUAGUAAUCGCGGAUCAGCACGCCGCGGUGAAUACGUUCCCGGGCCUUGUACACACCGCCCGUCACACCAUGAGAGUCUGUAGCACCCAAAGCCGGUGGGAUAACCUUUAUAGGAGUCAGCCGUCUAAGGUAGGACAGAUGAUUAGGGUGAAGUCAUAACAAGGUAACCGUA